UACAGAGGUCUCAAGCGUUGUUCGGAUUCAUUGGGCGUAAAGGGUGCGUAGGCGGCGGGGUAAGUCUGGUGUGAAAUCUAGGAGCUCAACUCCUAAACUGCACUGGAUACUGCUCUGCUAGAGGACUGGAGAGGAGACUGGAAUUCACGGUGUAGCAGUGAAAUGCGUAGAUAUCAGGAGGAACACCGGUGGCGAAGGCGGAUCUCUGGGCCGAUACUGACGCUGAGGAGCGAAAGCGUGGGGAGCGAACAGG
rnacentral:rRNA from 1 species